GAUGAAGAACGCAGCGAAAUGCGAUAAGUAAUGUGAAUUGCAGAAUUCAGUGAAUCAUCGAAUCUUUGAACGCACCUUGCGCCCUUUGGCUAUUCCGAAGGGCAUGCCUGUUUGAGUAUCAUGAACACCUCAACUCUCGUGGUUUGCUACGAUGAGCUUGGACUUUGGGGGUUUUGCUGGCCUGUGGUCGGCUCCUCUCAAAUGAAUCAGCUUCCCAGCGUUUGGUGGAGUCGCAGGUGUGAUAACUAUCUACGCUUGUGGUUUUUCGCCAGAUAACCUUUGGUGACGGAGGUUCGUUGGGGCUCAUAAAUGUCUCUCCUCAGUGAAGACAGCUUUUGAACGUUUGAUCUCAAAUCAGGUAGGACUACCCGCUGAACUUAAGCAUAUCAAUAAGCGGAGGA
rnacentral:misc_RNA from 1 species